GGCCUGUUUCCGGAUGUCAUGGCAGCCAUACAUGAGCAGCAAGUUUGAGAGGGGUCCGGGACAACGGGCCAGGAGGACAAGCUCCUCGUCGGGUUUGGAAAUUUUGCCACCCUGACGUUUAAAGAUCUCUAUGACGCCAAGGAUAAGGACUGAAAGGGGUAAGAUGUUUAAUCUAAUAGAAGCUGCUGGCUGUAGGAAUGUGUAGUGUAUGGGCUUGAGUUAGUCAUUUUUUGUUGGCAGAAAAAGGACAUCCGUCCUGGCACAAAGAUGGAGGCUCUGCAAAAGUACAUCAAAAGAAGAGACGCUGAGAAGUUGGGACAAAACCUUCCCAAAACAGCACCUCCAGGCACAUGACUAACAUCUUGUUUGCUUGUUAUUGGAUAUUUUGUUGCUUUUACAUCUUGUAAUUAUUAAUACUUAUUCUAAUAUUAACAGCGGUCGCUUCUAGCUCGGCAUCCACAGAGGAGCCAUCAGAUGCUGAUUUGCUUGCUGCAGCUGCACACAUAAAGGUUGCGGGUGAGUCAGACAUAGUUAUGAAUGGGUUUACAUUUGUGGUUUUGUUUUCAGAAUAUUGUUGUGCUUUGUAUAACAUGUUUUGUGAUUCUGUAUUAUCAGCUUUCAGAUGAUGGUUUUGGAAACAGUAAGGUAGGAGGUGUAUUACACAAUCUGAUCACACCAGCCCAUACCCUGGCUUUUUUGUACCUCUCUUGACUUUUUAUUAAUAUUAUUUUUUAUUUUUUUGCUUUUUAAAUUCCAUGGCAAUUCCCUUUACACUUUUUUUCCACUGCCGCAAUUUUUCUUCUCAUCUUUGAGCAUCCAACUUUUUCACCCAAUGCUGCCACACGCAAUUGUUUGUCAUAGUCAGCUUAUCUUUUUUGCACAUCUUCAUCUGUAUAUUUGGUGCAUUUCCAAUCAUUAACUCUAACAUACUACUAAUGUUUAACAUGAGUUUUAACAUCUAGCAGUAGUAAAUAGUAGCUGUAUUAAUCUCAUGUAGUAGUGACUAGUAAUAUUACAUGCAACAAUAAAAUGUAACGUUGCCUUUUCUAUGGGUCUCAUUCACUUUUUUUUGUUAUGCUUUGCAGCUGAUGGAAGCCAGUCAGUCAGUCAGCCAGAAGCCCUGCCCUCCUCAGAGAGAGCUGUGCCAAAAAAGCAGCCUGCGCCCACUGAAGAACUGCUGCUGCCUGAAGGUUGGAAGCAGACGCUCCCAAAAGAGUCUCUUUACCAGAGACAAGUCUGGGAAGCUGGCGCUGAACAAAAAUCUGCAUCUGUGGUGGUCUCCCCAGGACUCCGUCCUCUGUACUCCCAGCCUCCUUCUAAACCUGACGCCUUCUUUCACAGCAGGCUGUUCCUCUGGGUUCCCUACCGCAUGUGGGCCUACAAGCUGCUCUGCUCCCAGCCCAACUGCCAUCGCCUUGGGAUCCAGCUAACAGCUUCCAGCAUGUAAAAGACUGUCAGGAGGGUCUUGGACCUAAACGGGUGGUACUUCAUGGUGACUGAGUACCUUGAAUGCCAGUCCUGUAAAAAGAAGCUAGCAGCCUGGUCGCAAGAUAUCCUGGACCAGUUAGAUUCCAGCCACUGUGAACAAUUUCCUGCGGUCCUAACCUACAGGUUGUCCUGUGAUAGGGAGGUUGUGAGAAUGUUGCGGGGGCGCACGCUGGGGAACAGUGCCACAGCUCUGCACAGGCACCUGUGCCUCAGGCAUAAAGAAUAUUUCCUGGGCCAGUCAACAAUGUACCUGUCUGUGCUGAGGAAUUUUGUGACCCAGAACACUGAUCCCAGCAGUCUCAUUGCCGCGCUGCCACAGAUGGUGCCUGUCCCUAGUCCAUCUUGGCUGCUCUCAGUGUACGCCAAAGAAGUACUGACACGGCUUCCUGAACUGAAGGCCCGUGUCACCUCUGUCUAUGGCUCCAUUUUAAAGACGGAUUCCACCAAAAAGGU
ensembl:lncRNA